rnacentral:tRNA from 1 species
GCCGGAGUGGUGGAAUGGCAUACACACAAGACUUAAAAUCUUGCGCCCAUUGGGCUUGCGGGUUCAAGUCCCGCCUCCGGUACCA